CCUAGGGGUGGCAGCAGUGGGGAAUAUUGGACAAUGGGCGAAAGCCUGAUCCAGCCAUGCCGCGUGUGUGAAGAAGGCCUUCGGGUUGUAAAGCACUUUCAGUGGGGAAGAAAGCCUUGGGGCUAAUACCCUCGAGGAAGGACAUCACCCACAGAAGAAGCACCGGCUAACUCCGUGCCAGCAGCCGCGGUAAUACGGAGGGUGCGAGCGUUAAUCGGAAUUACUGGGCGUAAAGCGCGCGUAGGCGGUCUGAUAAGCCGGUUGUGAAAGCCCCGGGCUCAACCUGGGAACGGCAUCCGGAACUGUCAGGCUAGAGUGCAGGAGAGGAAGGUAGAAUUCCCGGUGUAGCGGUGAAAUGCGUAGAGAUCGGGAGGAAUACCAGUGGCGAAGGCGGCCUUCUGGACUGACACUGACGCUGAGGUGCGAAAGCGUGGGUAGCAAACAGGAUUAGAUACCCCAGUAGUC
rnacentral:rRNA from 1 species